GUGACCUCAUAUUUCAUUGAGCAAAAGUGUCCAAAUCAAUCAAGUAGGGCAAAUUAUCUUCAAAUUGGGAGGGCUUGUAUCAAAUCUCGGAAGUUGUCCGAUCAGAAGCCUAUAAGCUUAAAGAAUAUGACGGUAUGACUAUUCCUCAAACUUGAACUAUCGAGAACCUAAGAAUGUAUUAUCAGUAAGCUUUCGAGCUUGUAUAACUAAAAAUAUUAAUAAAAAAUAUUGUUCAGUUU
rnacentral:lncRNA from 1 species